rnacentral:rRNA from 1 species
GCAGCGCGGGAGCUUGCUCCUGGCGGCGAGUGGCGGACGGGUGAGGAACACGUAGGAAUCUGCCUUAGAGUGGGGAACAACUCGGGGAAACUCGAGCUAAUACCGCAUACACCCCAAGGGGUAAAGGUCGCUUGCGACCGCUCUAAGAUGAGCCUGCGUCCGAUUAGCUAGUUGGUAGGGUAAAGGCCUACCAAGGCGACGAUCGGUAGCUGGUCUGAGAGGAUGAUCAGCCACACUGGGACUGAGACACGGCCCAGACUCCUACGGGAGGCAGCAGUGGGGAAUAUUGGACAAUGGGCGAAAGCCUGAUCCAGCAAUGCCGCGUGUGUGAAGAAGGCUCUAGGGUUGUAAAGCACUUUCAGUUGGGAGGAAAGCCUCAGGGUGAACCCUGAGGUGUGACGUUACCAACAGAAGAAGCACCGGCUAACUCCGUGCCAGCAGCCGCGGUAAUACGGAGGGUGCAAGCGUUAAUCGGAAUUACUGGGCGUAAAGCGCGUGUAGGCGGAUAGAUAAGUCAAAUGUGAAAGCCCCGGGCUUAACCUGGGAACUGCAUUUGAUACUGUUUAUCUAGAGUAUGGUAGAGGGAAGUGGAAUUUCCGGUGUAGCGGUGAAAUGCGUAGAUAUCGGAAGGAACACCAGUGGCGAAGGCGGCUUCCUGGACCAAUACUGACGCUCAGACGCGAAAGCGUGGGUAGCGAACGGGAUUAGAUACCCCGGUAGUCCACGCCGUAAACGAUGAGAACUAGCUGCUGGGUAGCUUGACUACUUAGUGGCGCAGCUAACGCGUUAAGUUCUCCGCCUGGGGGAGUACGGCCGCAAGGCUAAAACUCAAAGGAAUUGACGGGGACCCGCACAAGCGGUGGAACAUGUGGGUUUAAUUCGGUGCAACGCGAAGAACCUUACCUACCCUUGACAUCCUGCCAACUCUCGGUAAAUAGAGAGGUGCCUUCGGGCAAGCAGUGACAGGUGCUGCAUGGCUGUCGUCAGCUCGUGU